AUGGCGGAGGCUACUGCUCUCAAAUUUGGUCUAACCUUGGCGCAAAGGGCGGGAUGCAACCGCAUUGUCGUAAAUUCGGAUAACAUGGAGGCGAUUGAGUCUAUGAAUGAUGGAGGGCAGUCGGCGGUAGCAAUCUUCGAAGACUAUUUUCAUUAAGCCUGUGAUUUUGUUACUAUUAGAUUUGAGCACUGUAAUAGGGAAGCAAAUAAAGUAGCUCGUGAGCUUGCUAGGUUAGCCAUGUUUUCUUUGAUUUCUGAUUGGUUUGAGGAGCCUUUAAACGAAAUUGUAAUGCUUCUCACAAACAAUAUACUAAUUAUUACAAAUGAAUAA
rnacentral:rRNA from 1 species